GGCAUCGUGGCCGAGUGGUUAUGGCGGCAGACUCAAGGAAUUUCCUUAACUGCCUCUUCAAGCGCAGCUAGCAUUCUGCUGGAGCAAUCCGCACGAGUUCGAAUCUCGUCGAUGUCA